GCCCAGCGGGGUCGCCAGAUCAGCCGACUCACUCACCAAAGUGAUGCGAGUUCAAGACGGUUACCUCAGGAACUUCUGCUUAAAAGUUGAAUUUACAAGGACGCCGGCUGGAAACGAGUCUUCAGAGUCUGUUAAAAGCCUCAGACGCACAAACGGACCCCGUUCAACUCUGCUGUUUGCCUAUGAUUUUAAAACCUCCUCGGACAGAAUGAGGAGCUCGAAGUGACAGAAUACAGGUGCAGAUGCAAAAUGGCACCAGCAGGGGAAGUCAUCUUCUGCAUUAAACUGUCAAAUUGCCAGUUGUUAAGAGUGUUGGUGAGGCUCAAAAUGUUUGAAGAACGUCGCUGAAAACGCCAAGCUUUACCUCUCAUGAAGAGGUCAGUGCAUUGUGUUUCAGGGUUUUCACAGAUUGUUGCUGCAGUGUCUGACUGAGGUCUCAUCCAUAUGCAUGUGUUUUUAACUGUAUUUUUCCACGUAUUCAAAAAGUCUAAAUCUCUAACCUGUUUGCACCAAUUCACCAUGGCUUCUUUCUUUUUCAGGUAGAAUCUACGAACUGUGAGGACUAUUUAUAUUUUUGGCCACUGUGCCUUCUAUCCUUUAUUUCUUUUCAUCUUUCCAUUUCUCUUAAGGUUAGGAUGUGAUCAGUGUGUAACUUUUUGUUUCUAGGUUGUUCAUCUUCCCGUAGUUUAGCUUAAUGCGAACACUUGCGUCGUUGAUGAUCGCUCUACAGUAAGUCCCGUGUUUACUUCCUUAUUUUAAUGGGUUGUCUCUCCUCGGCCGCCGUGCCGACCUGUUCUGUCUUUCCAACAUGGCCGCCGUGCUGCUUCUUCAGGCUGUCUCUGUCCAUUCCACGCCAUGCGUCGUCCAGCAUGGCCGCCGAUGCGUAGUUUGAAGCCAUGCUGGAGAAGAAAUUUUAUUUUGAUCUACACAAAGUAAGUGGUAUCUGUCUUUAAAUGUUGGUUCUGGUGUUGGCUUUUAUCUUGAGCUCUCAUUGUCUUUUCAACACGGCCGGCUGCCAACCAGAGGUGUGAAGAGUAGACCAUCGCAUUUGUUUAGUAUUAGUAGUAUCGAGUUGUACAAAUCCCCUCGUGUCUGCUGUAGUGAACUGUCAUCUCCUGUCCCUGUUUAUAUCUGCACCUGUCUGUCCAGCAUCACCACACCAUCUCUCUGGUGGCCACACCCCUCUCUGGCUGCUGCACCAUUCUACCCUCACAGUAAUUUACCUGAUCUGGCCAUGAUUCAAUCAGACCAUAGUUUUUCAUCUCUAUUGAAUUGAUGAACAAAUGCUGGUGCCCAAACAAAACUAUAGACGAUAACAAAGCACUGUUUUAUAGAUAUGUUGUCUUAAAGACAUGUCAAUACACUAGAUGAAUCAAUUUGACAAAAAUCAAACAAGUUAAAAUAUCAAAAUUUAUCCCCGUCCUACAAAAUACAAUCUGAAUGUAAUAUACCAUGGAUGAGGCUACAGUGUCUGACCACCUUGAUGUCUGAUUGAUGGUGAUCACCUGGUCAACUUGGGAGCAGCAGCGCUUUUCCACAUCAACAGAUGGUAAGUAUAAUUUCUCAUACUAAAUCUUUUUUGUACUCUUGAAAGUAAUCUUUUUGUCAGUAUUUAUUUUCCUCCUGGGGGGGGGGGGUUUGGCGGUGUCCCCAGUGCGGGCGGGUACAAAGCCUGAUGGCGGAGGGAGGACGGAGCUUCUGCCGGCUGAACACGUCACAGGCCGUCAGCCUCACGCUUCUGCGGAAGGCCACGGCACUCGCCGAAACCGUCAAGCAAUCUUGAGUUCUCCUCGUAGUCGGGUGUGCAGGUCCUCCUGGUCGAUCUUGGUGGUCUGUUGGUGCCAGCGGUGAUGUGCCAGCAAAACUACGUUCCUGGCGGAGAUGGCGCUCAUCU